GACAGAGGUCCCGAGCGUUAGGCGGAAUCACUGGGCUUAAAGCGUGUGUAGGCGGCGGCCUAAGUACCUUGUGAAAUCCCACGGCUCACCCGUGGAACUGCUCGGUAUACUGGGUCGCUUGAGCCACUUAGGGCUACCGGAACAAAUGGUGGAGCGGUGAAAUGCGUAGAUAUCAUUUGGAACGCCAAUGGUGAAAACAGGUAGCUGGGAGUGUGCUGACGCUGAGACACGAAAGCCAGGGGAGCAAACGGG
rnacentral:rRNA from 1 species